CAAGUCCUCAUGGCCCAUUUAUGCCCAGGGCUGCAAACGUGCUACAAUGGCGCGUACAAAGCGACGCGAGGCCGCGAGGCGGAGCAAAUCGCAGAAAGCGCGCCCCAGUUCGGAUUGCAGGCUGCAACUCGCCUGCAUGAAGUUGGAAUCGCUAGUAAUCGCGGAUCAGCCACGCCGCGGUGAAUACGUUCCUGAGCCUU
rnacentral:rRNA from 1 species